UGCUGGCACCGUGGAGGCAGAGUACCGGGAGGACCUCUGCCGACUCGGACCGCGGAAGGGGGACCAGCGCAGCCAUGUUGGAGGCGUUGGGCUCCCUGGCGACUGACUUCUGGGCCGCGUUCCGUCCCGGCACUGUCCUGCUGGGAGCCGUCGUCUUUCUCCUCUUGGCUGAUCUCCUCAAAAGGCGGCGUCCAAAGAACUACCCGCCGGGGCCCCCGCGCCUGCCUUUCGUAGGCAACUUCUUCCAGUUGGACUUUGAGAAAGGGCACCUGUCGCUUCAGCGGUUUGUGAAGAAAUACGGGAACCUUUUUAGCCUGGAAUUCGGUGACUUGCCUUCAGUUGUUAUAACUGGAUUGCCCUUAAUCAAAGAAGUCCUUGUCCACCAGGACCAAAACUUUGUGAACCGCCCCAUAACCCCUAUUCGAGAACGUGUUUUUAAGAAAAAUGGCUUGAUCAUGUCCAAUGGCCACAUAUGGAAAGAGCAAAGAAGAUUCUCCCUGACAGCUCUGAGGAACUUUGGUUUAGGAAGGAAAAGCUUAGAGGAACAGAUACAGGAAGAAGCUGCCUACCUCAUCCAGACAAUAGGAGAGGAGAACGGACAGCCUUUCAACCCUCACUUCAAGAUCAACAAUGCAGUUUCCAAUAUUAUUUGCUCCAUCACCUUUGGGGAGCGGUUUGACUACCAGGAUGAUCAGUUCCAGGAGCUGCUGAGGCUGCUGGAUGCGGUCACCUACCUAGAGACAACAAUGUGGUGCCAGCUCUACAAUGUCUUUCCAAGGAUAAUGAACUUCCUUCCGGGUCCACACCAAAUGCUCUUCAGUAACUGGGGGAAACUGAAAAUGUUUGUUGCCCGUAUGAUUGAAAACCACAAGAGAGAUUGGAAUCCUACUGAAGCAAGAGAUUUCAUUGAUGCUUACUUCCAGGAGACAGAAAAACAUAAGGGCAGUGCUGCUUCAAGUUUCCAUGAAGAAAACCUUAUCUACAGCACCCUGGACCUCUUUUUUGCUGGAACAGAGACAACUUCAACCACCCUGCGCUGGGGGCUGCUCUACAUGGCCCUGAACCCCGAAAUCCAAGAAAAAGUCCAAGCUGAAAUCGAUAAGGUGCUUGGCGAGUCACGACAACCAAGCAUGGCUGCGCGAGAGUCCAUGCCCUACACCAACGCUGUCAUCCACGAGGUGCAGAGAAUGGGGAACAUCCUCCCUCUGAACGUGCCCAGGGAGGUAACAGUGGACACCACCCUGGCCGGAUACCACCUGCCCAAGGGCACCAUGGUGCUGACCAACCUGACUGCACUGCACAGGGACCCCGCAGAGUGGGCCACGCCCGACACGUUCAAUCCGGAGCAUUUUCUGGAGAAUGGACAGUUUAAGAAAAGGGAAGCCUUUCUGCCUUUUUCAUUAGGUGGCUGUGCUCAAACAAGCUGAAUACAUAAAGACCCAGAGGCUGACAGGCCCCACCUUUGCUCAGGUUUUACAAGAAGUCAUAAAAUAUUUCAGUCCUUGCUGGUACAGACACCACCUGAACAGGCCUCCAGACAAUGAAGAGUUAAGCCUGAAGUUCAGAAUGGGCCUGACCCUCUCCCCAGUCAGCCACCGCCUCUGUGCUGUUCCUCGGGCCUGAAGUUGCUGAGGAGAGAGAGGGGAAGGAAAGCAGGAAGAACGGGCCUGUCACCCCUCAAGGCACGGGGCCUGCUCAGAAGUGAGAGGACAGCAUCCAGUGACUGGGACAGGUCAUAGGAACUGGACUCAGAGGAAACUGGAUCCAGACCCCAGCUUUGCCAUCUCUAGUGGGGCACUGAGGAAAUCAGUUAUGUUGUGAGUGAUUUUGUUUUCAUCCAGAGGAUUUAAAUUGGACGAUGAUUCCUUCUCUAAAGGAAGAAUUGCUGUAAAAACCAGAGGACAUAAUGGGCUUUAAGUGUCUUGGAAAUAAAGUGCGUCAUAAAAGUCA